GUGCCUUUGACGCCAGCGGUCAGUUCUGGCUGGGAUGCACCAGCUCUGCAUGUCUCAAUGCGGGAAUAACGGCAACAAGUGGAAAUAGUUCAUUCUUGCAGAGGAUAAAGAGCCAAGACUAAAGGGCUGUGUAGGAAUUUUCCAAUCUGGCUUAGCAUCACUUUACUGGGAAGCGGUGUCAGCAAGUGUAAACUGUUAGCAAGCAACAUCAACAGAUGGAACAAGAAAGUCAAAAAAGUGAGACACAUCUGGAAAAACUGCAGGGCCAGUAGCUGAGGUGAAGCUGCAGGGAGCAGAAAAUACGAGAACAGGUUCAUCCAGAAAUCAAAGAGAAGUGCUCAAUAAGUGAUAUCAAGAAUAGGAGGCCUGUUUUCAGGCAUCAGGAGGAAAUAACAGUGAAUUUGUUGCCAUCCAAUUCAGAUGCUAUUAAGUACUGUGCAACUUCGGGAGAGGAUUACUGAAAAGUGGCUGCAUGAAAUCACUGGAAUUCAGAAAAGUCAAAAUAUUUUCAGGCUGGCAAGCCGCACGCACCCCAUGUGCUCUAUAUGCUGUCUGAGAGAAAUUAGAGGAAAAAAAGGGGAGGCAACUGUAAAACAGAGUUUGUAAGAGGGUUUGCAUCAGAGGGAUGUGCUUGCCAGUCCUCCAGGUGGGAGCAAUUGAUCUAUUAGAACGUGAUGUGGUUUCAGUACUGGUUUUCUUCUUGAUUCCUUACAAAUCACCACAUUUCAUUUGGUUCUGUAAAUUGUGCAGAUCAUAGAAUCAUAGCAUCAUGGAAUACCAGGUUGGAAGGGACCUCAAGGAUCAUCUGGUCCAACCUUUCUUGGCAAAGCGUGACCUAGACAAGAUGGCCCACCACCCUGUCCAUCUGAAACUUGAAAGUGUCCAGUGGUGGGAGAUCCACCACUUCCCUGGGGAGAUUGUUGUCACUGUGAAAGACUGUCCUCUUGUGUCCAGUCAGAAUCUCCCCCAGAAUAACUUGCAUCCAUUACUCCAUGUCUUUUCCAUGUGACUCCUUGUAAAAAGGGAGUCUACAUUGUGUUCACCCUUUAAAUACUGGAACAUGGUGAUAAGGUCUCCCCUGAAAUGUUUUCACUGGACUGGAGUG